AUUUACAACUCAUCAAGAAUUCGAACGUCAAAGAUGAUGAGAAGGAGUUGCUUUCAAAGGAAUACGAAGAGAGAAUUUCAGAACUCAUCAAGAAUUUGAAGAUCAAAGAUGAUGAGAAAGAGCUACUUUCAAAGGAAUACGAAGAGAAAAUUUCAGAACUCAACAAGAAUUCAAAAAUCAAAGAUAAUGAGAAAGAGCUACUUUCAAAGGAAUACGAAGAGAAAAUUUCAGAACAAAUCAAGAAUAUGAAGAUCAAAGAUGAUGAGAAAGAGCUACUUUCAAAGGAAUACGAAGAGAAAAUUUCAGAACUCAACAAGAAUUUGAAAAUCAAAGAUGGUGAGAAAGAGCUACUUUCAAAGGAAUACGAAGAGAAAAUUUCAGAACUCAUCAAGAAUUCAAAAAUCAAAGAUAAUGAGAAAGAGCUACUUUCAAAGGAAUACAAAGAGAGAAUUUCAGAACUCAUCAAGAAUUUGAAGAUCAAAGAUGAUGAGAAAGAGCUACUUUCAAAGGAAUACGAAGAGAAAAUUUCAGAACAAAUCAAGAAUUCGAAGAUCAAAGAUGAUGAGAAAGAACUACUUUCAAAGGAAUACGAAGAGAAAAUUUCAGAACAAAUCAAGAAUAUGAAGAUCAAAGAUGAUGAGAAAGAGCUACUUUCAAAGGAAUACGAAGAGAAAAUUUCAGAACUCAUCAAGAAUCUGAAGAUCAAAGAUGAUGAGAAAGAGCUGCUUUCAAAGGAAUACGAAGAGAAAAUUUCAGAAGCCGUCAAAAAUGUGAAGACCAAAGAUGAUGAGGAAGAAGAGCUACUUUCAAGGGAAUAUGAAGAAAAAAUUUCAGAACUCAUCAAGAAUUUGAAGAUCAAAGACGAUGAGAAAGAGCUACUUUCAAAGGAAUACGAAGAGAAAAUUUCAGAACUUAUCAAGAAUUUGAAGAUGAAAGAUAAUGAGAAAGAGCUGCUUUCAAAGGAAUAUGAAACCCUGAAAUCGGAAAAGG
rnacentral:lncRNA from 1 species